rnacentral:rRNA from 1 species
UACGUAGGGUGCGAGCGUUAAUCGGAAUUACUGGGCGUAAAGCGUGCGCAGGCGGUCUGUUAAGACCGAUGUGAAAUCCCCGGGCUUAACCUGGGAACUGCAUUGGUGACUGGCAGGCUUUGAGUGUGGCAGAGGGAGGUGAGAAUUCCAGCGUGUAAGCGGUGAAUGCGUUGAUAAUCGAUGGGAACACCAAAAGCGAAGGCAGGCAGACCUGGACCGCUCCUGACAC